UGAACAGGAAGUUAUUUGAAGAUAUCUUCAAAUGAUUUAGAGAUAUCUCUAAAUGAACAGGAAGUUAUUUAGAGAUAUCUCUAAAUGAUUUACAGAUAUCUCGAAAUAAACAGGACGUGUGUACCUUACGUUUGUUUUUGUUAAUAAACGUACGCCAUUUGCAUUUGGAGGCAUCACUGUUAUAAUUCUAACAACGAAGUGAAGAUUGUAUUUUUUUUUAUUUAAACCUCAUUACUUUUUUGUACUGGAAAAAAGAGGUCUGCCUCAUGACAGGUGAAAGAGAGCAGGUACACGGGGUUUUAACCCGCGCCCUGUCAUCAGUUCGCCAAGCGGAAUCUGAAUUGAGGUCUCAUACAACUGACGAUAUAGAUGAUUUUGAUGCAGCCUCUUUUGUCAGUGAAACAAGGGCCUUGUUUAGAAGUAGAUCUGUGGACUCAUCACAAAGGACAGGAAAGAGAGGCAGAAAAAAAGGACGGCAAAGGGGACAUUUAUGGAAGACUCAUUUUUUCUUACUGCAAAAGAACAAUGAAGAAUUUGUACCACCACCGUCUGAAUUAUCAAGACUGACAAGAAAUGGAUUAGAGAACAGAAGGAAGGAUGUUAAAUGAAAGCCGUCAAGUAACAGCAGGAAGCAAUGCAUCAGUGACCCAAUUGCAAUU